AAAGGAUUGCUCAAUGUAGAUAUUAUAUACUGCUUGCACUGUGAAUAUUAAUGGGAUUCAACACUGUAAUAGUUUUUCUUUCGUCUGAUACAGAAUACCCCAUAUCUUUUCUUUUUCAUACCUAUCUGUUUAUUAUGUCCCCUGGAUUAUGUCAAUCAUACAUUGUUGCAAUACCGACAUGCUUGUACUUUGUCACAGAAAAAACUGAAAUAAAUUUCCUUCACAUCGAAGUAAAAAAUACAAAUGUACCCUUUAACAUUUGAAAUGUUGAAGAC
rnacentral:lncRNA from 1 species